rnacentral:lncRNA from 1 species
AGUGUCACCGCCUCCCCGCCGCAGACACUAUCCGACAAAGGAGGGGGAAUCAAAGGCUGGGCGAAGAGGCAGGGCAGGCGCCGGUGACGCUGCUGGGCAAGCGGGCUCUGCAGUAGCAUUUGUGGCGACCGUGGCAGUGGCUGUGACUGGAAGCUUCUGGAAAUGGCGGCGAUGAGGACCCCCACAUAGGGAAAACAGUACAUAUAUGUACUGAAAGAAAGCUGGAAACGAAAG